GCCUUGGUGGUAUAGUGGUGGAGCCCGCGUCCCCGGAUAGGAUAAAACGCGAGUUCAAUUCUCGCCUGAGGCU